rnacentral:lncRNA from 1 species
GGAGAAAAUGGAAGAGGGAGAGGAUGUAGAGGAGGAGGAGGAAGAAGAAAAGUGGAGGAGAAGCACAUGGCCUGGAGAAACCGCAAGUUCUAAGGGGUCUCAUAGAGGGCGUGUGCACAUGUGGGAAGCACAUUCCCCGAGCCGUCUCCCCGGCCAGCAUGGACUCCCCAGGAUGUCUGCUCCAAGGACGAAGGUGUAGAUCUGCACAUCCCAUGGAGCUACACUGGUUUUCAUUAUCAGCCUGACACAAAGUCACCUUGGAAAAGUCUCAACUGAAGGACUGCCUCCAUCCAGAGAGGAAGAGCUCAUGAUUGCAGAAAAGGGAAGAGCGGAAGGGACAAUGGGUCCACACAAACCCCCACCCCACACAGGACACGGCCUUGCAAACCAGCACCCGUGCAGGGUGCAGCACACCCAGGAAACUCACUUCUGACAGAAGAGCUGCCCACAGUUCCUGCAAUGGUGCCUUCGCUCUGUGAGGGAGAAGCGCACGGAGCACCCCGAGCAGCUGUCACCGCCUUCAUCCUUCACCCAGUGGUCAGCGGCCGAACGGCCAGGCUGGUCACUCACGGACCAGCUGAACACUCGGCCUCGACUGUCACCCACGAGGAUCCUGCUGUGAUCCCUACGUAAGACACAAGAAGGCCUCUGGUCCAGAGCUCUGGGUGUUCACAGGGAGCCCCAUCCC